GACGAACGCUGGCGGCGUGCCUAAUACAUGCAAGUCGAACGCAGUGGGGACGGGUGAGUAACACGUGGGUAACCUCCCAUCAGAGGGGAUAACACUUGGAAACAGGUGCUAAACAGAAAUUGAUGGAUGGACCCGCGGGGCAUUAGCUAGUUGGUGAGGUAACGGCUCAACAAGGACACGAUGCAUAGCCGACCUGAGCGGGUGCUCGGCCACACUGGGACUUAGACACGGCCCAGACUCCUACGGGAGGCAGCAUUGGGGUAUCUUCGGCAAUGGACGAAAGUCUGACCGAGCAACGCCGCGUGAAUGAAGAAGGUUUUCGGAUCGUAAAGCUCUGUUGUUAGAGAAGCGGUAUCUAACCAGAAAGCCCCGGCUAACUACGUGCCAGCAGCCGCGGUAAUAC
rnacentral:rRNA from 1 species